GUAGGUGGCAAGCGUUGUCCGGGAAUUAUUGGGGCGUAAAGCGCGCGCAGGCGGUUCUUUAAGUCUGAUGUGAAGCCCACGGGCUCAACCGUGGAGGGUCAUUGGAAACUGGAGAACUUGAGUACAGAAGAGGAAAGCGGAAUUCCACGUGUAGCGGUGAAAUGCGUAGAGAUGUGGAGGAACACCAGUGGCGAAGGCGGCUUUCUGGUCUGUAACUGGCGCUGAGGCGCGAAAGCGUGGGGAGCAAACAGGAUUAGAUACCCUGGUAGUCCACGCCGUAAACGAUGAGUGCUAAGUGUUAGGGGGUUUCCGCCCCUUAGUGCUGCAGCUAACGCAUUAAGCACUCCGCCUGGGGAGUACGGCCGCAAAGGCUGA
rnacentral:rRNA from 1 species